CACAUAGCCUGGGGAUCAGAUGUGUGAGGGAAGGAGACUUCAGAUGGUCCCAGUCACCAGCUAUGGAGACACCCUCAGGCCUUUGUCCCUCGGAGAGGCAGGACAGUACAGUGAAGCAUAGAGUGCCGUUUUCUACAGAUGAUGUGAUGCGUGAUAUUGCGAGGGAUUGAUGCAGUAACAGAUACAAAAAUCCAGCUGCCUUCUAUCAAACCAGAUACAAAUUACAAAGAUUUUCAAAAUUGUGAAA